rnacentral:rRNA from 1 species
CUUAAAUUGAAGAGUUUGAUCAUGGCUCAGAUUGAACGCUGGCGGCAGGCCUAACACAUGCAAGUCGAGCGGCAGCGGAAAGUAGCUUGCUACUUUGCCGGCGAGCGGCGGACGGGUGAGUAAUGUCUGGGAAACUGCCUGAUGGAGGGGGAUAACUACUGGAAACGGUAGCUAAUACCGCAUAACCUCGCAAGAGC